GACGAACGCUGGCGGCGUGCCUAAUACAUGCAAGUCGAACGCAUUUUCUUUCACCGUAGCUUGCUACACCGAAAGAAAAUGAGUGGCGAACGGGUGAGUAACACGUGGGUAACCUGCCCAUCAGCGGGGGAUAACACUUGGAAACAGGUGCUAAUACCGCAUAAUUCCAUUUACCGCAUGGUAGAUGGGUGAAAGGCGCUUUUGCGUCACUGAUGGAUGGACCCGCGGUGCAUUAGCUAGUUGGUGGGGUAACGGCCUACCAAGGCUGCGAUGCAUAGCCGACCUGAGAGGGUGAUCGGCCACACUGGGACUGAGACACGGCCCAGACUCCUACGGGAGGCAGCAGUAGGGAAUCUUCGGCAAUGGACGCAAGUCUGACCGAGCAACGCCGCGUGAGUGAAGAAGGUUUUCGGAUCGUAAAACUCUGUUGUUAGAGAAGAACAAGGAUGAGAGUGGAAAGUUCAUCCCUUGACGGUAGCUAACCAGAAAGCCACGGCUAACUACGUG
rnacentral:rRNA from 1 species